rnacentral:rRNA from 1 species
AUUGAACGCUGGCGGCAGGCCUAACACAUGCAAGUCGAGCGGAUGAAGGGAGCUUGCUCCUGGAUUCAGCGGCGGACGGGUGAGUAAUGCCUAGGAAUCUGCCUGGUAGUGGGGGAUAACGUCCGGAAACGGGCGCUAAUACCGCAUACGUCCUGAGGGAGAAAGUGGGGGAUCUUCGGACCUCACGCUAUCAGAUGAUCCUAGGUCGGAUUAGCUAGUUGGUGGGGUAAAGGCCUACCAAGUCGACGAUCCGUAACUGGUCUGAGAGGAUGAUCAGUCACACUGGAACUGAGACACGGUCCAGACUCCUACGGGAGGCAGCAGUGGGGAAUAUUGGACAAUGGGCGAAAGCCUGAUACAGCCAUGCCGAGUGUGUGAAGAAGGUCUUCGGAUUGUAAAGCACUUUAAGUUGGGAGGAAGGGCAGUAAGUUAAUACCUUGCUGUUUUGACGUUACCAACAGAAUAAGCACCGGCUAACUUCGUG